AUGAGCUAAGCAUCAAAUGUUUAAUUAGAAUCUUCAGAUUCGACAAAAUGCAAGCAGGAAAGGAGUAGGAAAAAAAGCAAGCAAAAACAAGAAAAUUGAUACAUUUGGAUGGCCAUUCCCCUUCAUUUUUACAUCAUUAAUUUUCUAAAUAGUACAAGAAAAGCCCUUGGGAUCAAAAUUAGGGCUCAGUUCACAACAUAUCUUGAGUUCUUGACAUUAAUGUCCAUUUGCAUCCAUUUCUUCUAACAUUAUCCAUACUGCUAAUUAGCACUCGGGCAAUUUCUGAAACUUCAUAUCAAUGCAAUGGCCUCUAAGUUAGCCACACCUCAAUGUUAUGCUCAAUUAGCUUGACAUAAUUUACGCAGCCUUUCUUUCAUUUUGCUUGUGAAAGAACAUGGAAUAAAUUCACUGAUAUCUUUGGACUGUACAAGGCCAAUUAACUGAUUCCCAUUUUGUUGCAAGUUGAAACUGGAAACUUAGGACCAAUAUCAAGCCAGAGUAUUCUCAACAUAUUCCAUUGCCUUUUGUUUCACAGAGUCGAUUUGUUCCUCAUCACCAAGAGACUUCUCAUACUCGAGAUAUUUCUUGAAUAAGAACUUCAUCUUUUUAGGUGGGAGGCUCAGACUAAUGGCCCUCUCAAAUAGAGAGCGAGUUACAUCCACAUCUCCGAGUCUAAUCUCCUGAUCAAGAUAAACACUCCACAAAUCUGUUCUCUUUGGGUACUCCCGCAAAAUUCCUUCAAACAUGGAUCGCCCUCUAUCAGGAACCCCGCAUUUGAACUCAAGGAUAGCUGAUUGUGAGAUGAAUUUGAUAUGCCUAUGACGGGGAAGGCAUAACAGGGCACGCUGAAUAACAGACUGAACCCCAUCUUGCUCUUGCUUCAAAAGUCUCUGUACCCGUCUCAGCCAAAUCUUGCAUGAGUGCUUGAACUUCUUGACCAUUCUUUCAAGAAGCUCAUCAGCCAAACUAUGCUGCUCAGUCCUUUCAUAUACUCCCAAAAGUGCUAGAUGUACUUUCUUAGGGUCACAAUACUGCAGAGCUCUUUGAAAUACUUUUUUAACAGCUUCCUCUGGAGGAUUUCCAUAUUCAUUUUCCAAAUUGAAGUAGGCAACCCAGAUGUUUAGCUUCUCAUUUUCUUCACGAAUAUUUAUUGUUCUCAGAGCCCUUUCGGCAAUCAAGCGAGCUUUCUCAACAUCAGCCAAAUUAAGCAUGAAAGCCAUGUAUUUUAUCCAAACAAAACUGCUAUUAGGAGAACUUCGAACCAGUUUCUCAAAUUCAUCAGCAGUUCUUGGUAUAUCCUUUUCCAGCAGUCUUUCUUCAGCAGCUCUAAUUUCUUGCUCCCUCUCUUCCUUUGCCUUCUUUUCCCUUCUCUUCUUCUCACCUACGAUCUUUGCCUCACCAGUAUGUUCUUUAUUUUUGUCAAUCACAUCAUCCACAUCAGAGUGCUCCAUGUCAUCAAGGGUGACAUCAAGUGGAGGAAUGUAAGCCCUUGAUUCUGCUUGUGCAAGAACUGGACAUUCUUCAUUUUCAGAUUCAAUAUCCAUAUCUUGGAUCCCAACUGAACUGCUCGCAUGUGGUUUAGAACCACUGUCAUCAAUAGUACCAUUUUCACUAAUGGUAUCAUCAGAUUCUGCUUUUGAAUGCAGAAUGUUAAUAUCAUUUCCAAGAUCCAAAUUUUUAAUGCCAAGAGAGAUUCGACGUCUUUCCUCAUCCACCUUCAAAAUCCUUGCAGUAACCAUCUCCCCCACUCCAUAUUUAGUUUCAAUAUUGUCAACACAACCAUCUGGAAGCUCUGACACAUGACAUAAUCCAACCAAGUUUGUGUGGUCAAUUGUGAUAAACAGACCAUAUGAUUCCACCCGUUUAAUCCGGCCAGAAAUUAUGUCUCCAACAUGUAGAGAACUCAAAUUAUUAGUUUCAGAUUCUGCGGCACUGCUUGCACUCAAUUUCUUCAAGGUAACUUCAACUCGGUUGGACAAAGGCUCCACAGAUAAUACCCUGCCAAUUACAAGUUUCCCUAUAGGGAAUUCUUUUUCAGGAUUGUCAAUAUACUCAUCCGAUAAGUUUGAGAUGAGAAUUUUGGCAUCAAUCUUCCUUGAAAGCAUAAUGAAACACCCUUUUGAUGUCACAUUCUUAACAUAACCCUGUACAACUGUAUCAGGGUGAAGAUCCUCAAUCUUUUCCACACGCUUUGUUUGAGCAUCCGCAUUCUUUGAGAGCUCAGCCGAAUUCUGACUAAGCAUGCCAUCUAAAGAGAAACAUAGUGACAGAUCAAUGUGAACAGUGCCCCUGACAGAUUGACUGAUCUCCAAGACCUUGCAUUUGACAAAUUUGCCUUCAUGAUAUCCAGACAAUGGGUCAGGCACCCAUGUGUCCUGAAGUUCAGUAAAAUGAACUCUACCAUGUAAGUGGGGACCAAUCUGCACAAAUAAUCCACCAACAUUGGGAAGUAUUUUGGAAAUUCUGCCACCUACAAUAUCUCCUUCUUGAAUAUGAGAAGUAACAUUGAAAUGUUGAACACCAUUUUGUGCAUCAUCCAUGUUUAGAACUUUGCCAUCAACAUGUCUACUAGAUAAAGCACAUAGUGGACGCAGCACCAGACGUAACAAUGUACUAUCUUUUUUGUGACUUAGAACAUGGCCUCUAACAGCUUUUCCCACAAAAAACCGUUUCUGGAAUUCUUGAAGUUCACUCGGUUCAUGUGCACUGUCAAGUACAAAAAGCUGUGCAUUUACAUGUCGAGAUAUAGUUAACCAGGCCCAUUCAUCGUCCACUUUAUACACAUAACCAGCGACACAUUGUCCAGAUGAAAAUUCACACUUGGACAUUUUAUCGCCCGACUCACAGAAAUCUGUAAGAAUUUUUGGUUUAAUAGAUAGCUCCCAGAGCUUCAUUUUUUUAUUAUCUCCUUUACUAGCUUUAGCAACAAUCCUUGCAGUAACUGUUUGACCGAUUCUGAAGUUAGCAAAUGGAUCAUCCAAAAUAGAAUCAUCAUUAACCUCAGUUAUAUGAAUCCUCCCACGGAAACCAAUACCAAAUUUCAAUCUCAUUUCAAGAGGCUUUUUUUCAGUAAUCUCUGCUUGAACGAGGGAUCCCACAUUAUAGCAAGACUUCUUUUUUUGCCUUCUUUGAACUGGAUGUCUCAGUUGGGUCACUAAUUGAUUUCAGAAGCAAAAGCAACCUCCCUGCAGUUGAAGGGCUUGGGAGUGCCAUAACAGUUGCAAUCACACUCUGUCCAUUAAAAAAUUGUUUCUGUGGAAGCUUCUGUAUGUUGUAGUCUGAUACCGAUGCAUAUCCUAUAGCAUAGUUAUGCUCAGGAAUUGAAAGAACCAAGUAGUUUUCUUUCACAAUCUCCACAACAGCAUUUACUGUCUGGUGUACCUCCAAGCUCUUAGACACUUCUCUUUUCCGUUUCUUUUUUUUAGUCUGGCUGUUAGAACUUUUAACCCUCGAUUUAUCAAGAAACUCUGGCUUUAGAGAUAAAUCAACAAGGUGUUCAGUCUUGGCAACAUCAAGAACCGCGGCUUGAACAGUAGAGCCUAUUUCCACUUUUGUUCCGCCUAAUUGAUAAAGUGUAAUAAAACCAAGGACAUCAUUAUAGUUAUCAAAGCUGACGACAAUUCCAACUUCCUUAGACUCCUGAACUUUUGUCUCAAUGACACUACCAAUUUUAAAUCCUUCAACCCACUUUAAAUCAGGCCCUUUGGAGUCUGAAUAUUGUAGCUCAGCAAUCUUCUCCUCUAGUUGAAAAUAUCCUUGAAGAAAGGAUGCAUCUGUAGAUGAACAGCCUGAUUGCUUCAGAGACACUGUUAUUCUAUUUUUUUCACUAUUUACAUCAAUUAUGUUGCUACGAAUGGAUUGUCCAAGAUAAAAGGCUUCUGCAAGCUGAGCUCUUUGGUCAUCCAUUGCCUUGCUUCGAGGGGAGAAACCAGUCAAGCGACCAAGAAAUCGAACAAAACAGCCAGUUUCAAUUAAGUUACAAAUGUACCCAUGGACUAUUGACUGAGGAUGAAUCUGACUAAGAUCUGAAGGAAGAUGCUGAGCGGACUUGACAAGAGAAUAUUUCGCAGAAAGAAUCAAAUUGUUGCUCUCGAUAUCUAGGACCAGAAGCUGAUCAAACUCAUAUCCAGGCUUCAAGACUGACUUCAACAAAGAAGCUUGGUCAUGGUGAUCAGCCAAAUGUUCGGUCGAUAUUGUACCCUUCAUGUAACCUUUGGCAUUAAUAUAUACUACUACACCAAAAGGGGCUACUUUCUCAACAACUCCUGCAACAACACUACCCAACUUCACAGCUUCUUCAGAUACCCUUGUAGGCUUCAUCAUGAAACUAAGGUUGAUCCUGUGUGAAGCAGGAAUAGAACUCAAUACUCUGCAUUUGACAACUUGUCCAGCAUGAUACACAGAACCUGCAUCAUCUCCUGGUUCUAGUCCAAGCUCUGAUCUGGGAGCAAAUCCCUGGACUCCAUUAUAAAAAUGGACAAAGCAGCCAUGCUUUUCAAUCUUUGUUAUCCAGCCAUGUGUUAUUAGCCCAUCUGUUACAUCAACGUAUGAGCUAAGAAUUGCAAGUUUUGAUUUGACAAGAGUUUUCUUGUGAGUUACAGUAAUUCUCUUGGACUUGCAACCAAGCACCCGGAACACCAGUUCAGCUCCAACCUUAAAUUUUUUUCUAGGCUUUGCAAUUUCAAAUUCAGACAUAUGGCGAAGAGGACAGAGUGCCUUCACCCCACCAGGAAAUUGCACAAUGGCACCAAAGCUGUCCACGGCUAAGAUUUUGGCCCGCACUAUCAUCCCAGGCUUAACAUCUGAGUGGGUGAAUACAGUGCCUUCAAAAGCACUUGCCUUCAAAAUCCCUGUAGCAAGACCUUCCAAAUGCUUAUAUCCAAGAAUUCGAACACGAAUUUUACUUCCUUCCUUAAACUUUUUCUCAAGCUUGCCAACUUCAUUUUCAGCCACAUCAGAUAUACUAACAUAAGCUGGUGUUGACACAGGAGUGGAUGGGAUUUCAAGCAGAAGACCCAAGCCUUUAUCUACCCUGACUACUUUUGCGCUGUCAUAAAUAUCUCCAACUUUAACAUGCAUCAGAGGAGUAUUAUUAUGAAUGAGAUGUUGAUUCAGGGUCAAGCCAACUGCUCUAGUUGAGGGAUCAAUAAAUAAUAUCCUAGCAUUGACCUUCUUAUUAUUGUUGUAAUCAUCUUUCCAGUUUGAAGUAGGAAAAGCAUUUUGCAAAUGAAGCACAUCAACAGUUCCAGUAAAAUAGGUAAGGAAUGAUAACAUAAUCCCAUUUUCUAGGGUUGACUGUACGCGGGCAUUAACCAUCAUGCCUGGAACCAGAAGAUCAAUUGAAAUUCCCUUAAGAUCCUUCAUCACACAUUUUGACAAGGCAUCUGGUUCAGAACUUAGAUAAACAACUUUACGAGUUUUAUCAAUGCUUCUAACAAUUCCUUGCAGCAGUUGCCCAACUUUCAUUUCAGCAUGCCUGCUUUCAGCUUGGCUAUUCUUUGGCAAAAACCCCAUAAAAGAAGGCAAUCCAAAAUGAAGAAUGUAGCCAUGGUCUUCAAUGCUCUUCACAUAGGCAGUUAGGACCAUCCCUUCCUGAAUGGCAUCUAAUGAGAAGCCUUUGUGCAACAAUGAAAGGUGCAAAGAAAGCCAGAUUUUUCUUUUCCCAUUAUCUUUCUUAUCAUCAUCCAAUUGCAACACAGUGCAUGAAACCAACUGCCCAACAUGGAAUAUGCUUGGAAGGUUGCCUUCGAUAUCCUCAGUUCCAUCACCCAAAACAGGAUCAAGUGCAUCUAUGGAACGUACUAAACCACGCAAGCCCCAAGGUAGACUAAUCACAAGGUCCUUCUCAUUUACUUCAGCAACAACACCCCAAAGCUUCAUUCCAGGAGAAAUAUUCUUCAAGGUGAUCUUAUUCGCAAAUCGAGGUAGAUUGCCAGUUAAGCCAUCACCAAAAAGCGAACCCAACUCAUCAGGCUCAGAAUGACUCUUGUUUUGCAAUUUCUUCCCCUUCUUCCUUUUCAUCAAAACCCUCUCCUCAGCCUCGAAUUCUGCAUCAACUUCUGCACGGAUUUCCUCACGUUCUCUUUUACUCAGUGAGCUUCCUCCACCUCUAGGAAAGUCAGGAACAUCAUCUUCCAGCUGCAAGGCUAAGGCUUCAGGUGGAACGACGUCGUUUGAGUCCUUCUUCUUAGAUUUGAAAGACUUCUUCGACUCCUUAUUAAAUUUUGAGCCACCUUCCAUCUUCCUAUUCUGAGAUUUCUUCUUUAAAGAAGGAGCAGCCAUUUUCUGUUAGAUUAAGAAACUCGAAACCCUAGCGAAGCUUGCCCCUGCGUUUUCAGGUUAAUAUCAAUACAACAAGCUGGCUCUCCCCGCGUUUCUUU
rnacentral:misc_RNA from 1 species